AGGGGAGCGUUCUGUAAGCCUGUGAAGGUGUGCUGUGAAGCAUGCUGGAGGUAUCAGAAGUGCGAAUGCUGACAUAAGUAACGAUAAAGCGGGUGAAAAGCCCGCUCGCCGGAAGACCAAGGGUUCCUGUCCAACGUUAAUCGGGGCAGGGUGAGUCGACCCCUAAGGCGAGGCCGAAAGGCGUAGUCGAUGGGAAACAGGUUAAUAUUCCUGUACUUGGUGUUACUGCGAAGGGGGGACGGAGAAGGCUAUGUUGGCCGGGCGACGGUUGUCCCGGUUUAAGCGUGUAGGCUGGUUUUCCAGGCAAAUCCGGAGAAUCAAGGCUGAGGCGUGAUGACGAGGCACUACGGUGCUGAAGCAACAAAUGCCCUGCUUCCAGGAAAAGCCUCUAAGCAUCAGGUAACAUCAAAUCGUACCCCAAACCGACACAGGUGGUCAGGUAGAGAAUACCAAGGCGCUUGAGAGAACUCGGGUGAAGGAACUAGGCAAAAUGGUGCCGUAACUUCGGGAGAAGGCACGCUGAUAUGUAGGUGAAGCGACUUGCUCGUGGAGCUGAAAUCAGUCGAAGAUACCAGCUGGCUGCAACUGUUUAUUAAAAACACAGCACUGUGCAAACACGAAAGUGGACGUAUACGGUGUGACGCCUGCCCGGUGCCGGAAGGUUAAUUGAUGGGGUCAGCGCAAGCGAAGCUCUUGAUCGAAGCCCCGGUAAACGGCGGCCGUAACUAUAACGGUCCUAAGGUAGCGAAAUUCCUUGUCGGGUAAGUUCCGACCUGCACGAAUGGCGUAAUGAUGGCCAGGCUGUCUCCACCCGAGACUCAGUGAAAUUGAACUCGCUGUGAAGAUGCAGUGUACCCGCGGCAAGACGGAAAGACCCCGUGAACCUUUACUAUAGCUUGACACUGAACACUGGUCCUUGAUGUGUAGGAUAGGUGGGAGGCUUUGAAGUGUGGACGCCAGUCUGCAUGGAGCCGUCCUUGAAAUACCACCCUUUAAUGGCUGGUGUUCUAACG
rnacentral:rRNA from 1 species